ensembl:lncRNA
GGUAGAUCAGAUGUGUCCUGCAAAUCGGCGCCUGGAGGGCUGCGUCACUCGACCCCGUUCGGAGGAGGAAAGCGGCCGAAGUGACGUACGCUGCCGACGAAUGCGUCCUUAAGCAUGCAGCCUUGGGAAUUGAGACGUGCCCACAGCAUCACGUGCUUGAGAAGGUAGAGGCGGAAGUGAAAACUCUUAUCUUCCGUUCCCGUCCUUUGCUGGUCACCCUUCCUCGGAUAUUCUACACCAACUGGAGCUGGCGCUGCUGUGUUGAGGCUCCUCGGGACGGCGAUGGAUUGCGGUGGAGCCAGUGAGCAGCCCGGACGAGGUAGAAGACCCGGUCAGCCCUCUGGGACCCCCGUUGCUGCCAAGGGCCAAGCAGCACAGAGCGGUCAGAGGUCCCAUGUCAAGAUAACUCCCUUCCACAGCUCACCCAUACUCAACAGCAAUGAUGCCCUCGGCAGCAAAGGGCCAGGAGCCGCCUCUGGGAGACCGCUGGCUGCUCCGGGGGGCCAGUUUCUGGACACACUCGGAAGUCUGAAUGUCAGACGGAGACUCUCUGCUCCUGGAAGCCACGAGCAACCAACUCCCACUUCAGGAUCUAUCCCGACCUUGACUGGAGAAAACGCACAUGUAAGUCCAAGGAUGUGUUGCCAAAUGUUUGCACAACUCCAAGCAUCUGUGAUGUGUCUUGUAAAUUCUCAGUGAUAAUUGUGAUUGAAUCAAUGAAGAGAAUUACAGUUUUAGAUUUCCAGUUUUUGACAAGCAAACAGACUAAUGUUAUUCAAAUUUGCCUGGUGUAUUAUGAAGAUGAGAAAGUGUGGCCAAUAUUUUGGCUGGUACUGUAUAUUAAAACUGUCAAUGUUGGCCGCACAUAAUAAUUUAACACUCCAUGCUUUACAUAUAUAUAUAUAUAUAUUCUUUUUUUAAAUAUACCUAGUUAAGAGUUGCCAUUUGAUUUUUUUUUUCAAUUACUAAAUACAUAAUAAUGUAUACACAAUAUUCAUAUAAUCACGUUAGACCAAAAACCAAA